GCUCCUGUAGCUCAAUUGGAAGAGCGUGUGGCUUCGGACCACAAGGCUGGAGGUUCGAGUCCUCCCAGGAGCA
rnacentral:tRNA from 1 species